rnacentral:rRNA from 1 species
CCUACGGGGCGCAGCAGUGAGGAAUAUUGGUCAAUGGGCGGAAGUCUGAACCAGCCAUGCCGCGUGCAGGAAGACGGCUCUAUGGGUUGUAAACUGCUUUUGUACAAGGGUAAACCUGAAGACGUGUAUUCAGCUGCAAGUACUGUACGAAUAAGGAUCGGCUAACUCCGUGCCAGCAGCCGCGGUAAUACGGAGGAUCCAAGCGUUAUCCGGAUUUAUUGGGUUUAAAGGGUGCGUAGGCGGAUUGAUAAGUUAGGGGUGAAAUUUCCGGGCUUAACUCGGGAACUGCCUCUAAUACUGUUGAUCUAGAGAGGACGUGCGGUAGGCGGAAUGUAUGGUGUAGCGGUGAAAUGCUUAGAGAUCACACAGAACACCGAUUGCGAAGGCAGCUUACCAAUCUAUAACUGACGUUGAGGCACGAAAGCGUGGGGAGCAAACAGGAUUAGAUACCCUUGUAGUC